AGUGGGCUGCAAAAGAAGUGGGUAGUUUAACCUUUCGGGGAGGACGCUCACCACUUUGUGGUUCAUGACUGGGGUGAAGUCGUAACAAGGUAGCCCUAGGGGAACCUGGGGCUGGAUCACCUCCUUAUACGAAGAUA
rnacentral:rRNA from 1 species